rnacentral:rRNA from 1 species
GCCUACGGGGGGCAGCAGUGGGGAAUAUUGGGCAAUGGGCGCAAGCCUGACCCAGCAACGCCGCGUGAAGGAAGAAGGCUUUCGGGUUGUAAACUUCUUUUAUCAGGGACGAAGCAAGUGACGGUACCUGAUGAAUAAGCCACGGCUAACUACGUGCCAGCAGCCGCGGUAAUACGUAGGAGGCAAGCGUUGUCCGGAUUUACUGGGUGUAAAGGGCGUGCAGCCGGGAAGACAAGUCAGAUGUGAAAUCCCGCGGCUCAACCGCGGAACUGCAUUUGAAACUGUUUUUCUUGAGUACCGGAGCG